GAAAUGCGAUAAGUAAUGUGAAUUGCAGAAUUCAGUGAAUCAUCGAAUCUUUGAACGCACCUUGCGCUCCUUGGUAUUCCGAGGAGCAUGCCUGUUUGAGUGUCAUGGAAUUCUCAACUCUAUUUGCUUUUGUGAAUAGAGCUUGGAUUUGGAGGUUUAUUGCUGGUACUUGUGAUCGGCUCCUCUUGAAUGCAUUAGCUCGAACCUUUGCGGAUCAGCUAUCGGUGUGAUAAUUGUCUACGCCGUUGCAGUGAAGCAUAUCAAUGGGCUCGGCUUCCAAUCGUCCUUUACUGGACAAUGACUUUGCCCUUUGACCUCAAAUCAGGUAGGAUUACCCGCUGAACUUCAGC
rnacentral:misc_RNA from 1 species